AGCUCCAAUAGCGUAUAUUAAAGUUGUUGCAGUUAAAAAGCUCGUAGUUGGAUUUCGGGGCGGCCUGGCUGGUCCGCCGCGAGGCGAGCACUGGUCAGCCGCCCUUCCUCUCGAAAGCCCCGACUGCUCUUCACUGCAGUGGUCGGGUAGUUCGGGACGUUUACUUUGAAAAAAUUAGAGUGUUCAAGGCAGGCUCUCGCCUGAAUACAUUAGCAUGGAAUAAUGGAAGAGGACCUCGGUCCUAUUUUGUUGGUUUCUUGGGCCGAAGUAAUGAUUAAGAGGGACAGUUGGGGGCAUUCGUAUUUAAUUGUCAGAGGUGAAAUUCUCGGAUUUAUGAAAGACGAACAACUGCGAAAGCAUUUGCCAAGGAUGUUUUCAUUAAUCAAGAACGAAAGUACGC
rnacentral:rRNA from 1 species